rnacentral:misc_RNA from 1 species
GCAAACUUGGUCAUUUAGAGGAAGUAAAAGUCGUAACAAGGUUUCCGUAGGUGAACCUGCGGAAGGAUCAUUAUCGAGAGCCCCUGCCCCUUGCCGGGUAGACUCCACACCCCAUGAUUACCACACGCCGUUUGCUUUGGCGGGUCCCUCGCGUCCCGCCAGAGGCCCAAACCUCGUCACGUCGCUGUCACGUCGGAAAAUCGUACCGGUCAUGGCGACCGACAACAUGUCAAAACUUUCAACAACGGAUCUCUUGGUUCUGGCAUCGAUGAAGAACGCAGC